rnacentral:rRNA from 1 species
AUUGAACGCUGGCGGAAGGCCUAACACAUGCAAGUCGAGCGAGCGGCGGACGGGUGAGUAAUGUAUGGGGACUGCCCGAUAGAGGGGGAUAACUACUGGAAACGGUAGCUAAUACCGCAUACUAUCGGAUAACCCAUAUGGGAUUAGCUAGUAGGUGAGGUGAUGGCUAAACUAGGCGACGAUCCCUAGUUGGUCUGAGAGGAUGUUCAGCCACACUAGGACUGAGACACGGCCCAGCCUCCUACGGAGGCAGCAGUGGGGAAUAUUUCACAAUGGGCGCGAGCCUGAUGCAGCCAUGCCGCGUGUAUGAAGGAGGCCCUAGGGUUGUAAAGUACUUUCAGUCGGGAGGCGUUACCGACAGAAGAAGCACCGGCUAACUCCGUGCCAGCAGCCGCGGUAAUUC